rnacentral:rRNA from 1 species
UACGUAGGUGGCAAGCGUUGUCCGGAUUUAUUGGGUUUAAAGGGUGCGUAGGCGGCUUUGUAAGUCAGUGGUGAAAUAUGGCAGCUCAACUGUCAAGGUGCCAUUGAUACUGCGGAGCUUGAGUACAGAUGAGGUAGGCUGAAUUGACGGUGUAGCGGUGAAAUGCUUAGAUAUCGUCAAGAACACCUAUAGCGAAGGCAGCUUACUAGGCUGUAACUGACGCUGAGGCACGAAAGUGUGGGGAUCAAACAGG